rnacentral:rRNA from 1 species
CGGGGUGCACCAGGCGCGAAAACUUUACAAUGCGGGAAACCGUGAUAAGGGGACACCGAGUGCCAGCAUCAUAUGCUGGCUGUCCAGGUGUGUAAAAUACACCUGUCAGCAAGGGCCGGGCAAGACCGGUGCCAGCCGCCGCGGUAACACCGGCGGCCCGAGUGGUGAUCGUGAUUAUUGGGUCUAAAGGGUCCGUAGCCGGUUUGGUCAGUCCUCCGGGAAAUCUGACGGCUCAACCGUUAGGCUUUCGGGGGAUACUGCCAGGCUUGGAACCGGGAGAGGUAAGAGGUACUACAGGGGUAGGAGUGAAAUCUUGUAAUCCCUGUGGGACCACCUGUGGCGAAGGCGUCUUACCAGAACGGGUUCGACGGUGAGGGACGAAAGCUGGGGGCACGAACCGGAUUAGAUACCCGGGUAGUCCCAGCCGUAAACGAUGCUCGCUAGGUGUCAGGCAUGGCGCGACCGUGUCUGGUGCCGCAGGGAAGCCGUGAAGCGAGCCACCUGGGAAGUACGGCCGCAAGGCUGAAACUUAAAGGAAUUGGCGGGGGAGCACA